GGGCGGCUACACAUGCAGUCGAACGGUAACAGGAAGCAGCUUGCUGCUUCGCUGACGAGUGGCGGACGGGUGAGUAAUGUCUGGGAAACUGCCUGAUGGAGGGGGAUAACUACUGGAAACGGUAGCUAAUACCGCAUAACGUCGCAAGACCAAAGAGGGGGACCUUCGGGCCUCUUGCCAUCGGAAGUGCCCAGAUGGGAUUAGCUAGUAGGUGGGGUAACGGCUCACCUAGGCGACGAUCCCUAGCUGGUCUGAGAGGAUGACCAGCCACACUGGAACUGAGACACGGUCCAGACUCCUACGGGAGGCAGCAGUGGGGAAUAUUGCACAAUGGGCGCAAGCCUGAUGCAGCCAUGCCGCGUGUAUGAAGAAGGCCUUCGGGUUGUAAAGUACUUUCAGCGGGGAGGAAGGCGAUAAGGUUAAUAACCUUGUCGAUUGACGUUACCCGCAGAAGAAGCACCGGCUAACUCCGUGCCAGCAGCCGCGGUAAUACGGAGGGUGCAAGCGUUAAUCGGAAUUACUGGGCGUAAAGCGCACGCAGGCGGUCUGUCAAGUCGGAUGUGAAAUCCCCGGGCUCAACCUGGGAACUGCAUUCUAAACUGGCAGGCUAGAGUCUUG
rnacentral:rRNA from 1 species